rnacentral:rRNA from 1 species
GAUGAACGCUGGCGGCGUGCCUAGUACAUGCAAGUCGAGCGAACGGACGAGAAGCUUGCUUCUCUGAUGUUAGCGGCGGACGGGUGAGUAACACGUGGAUAACCUACCUAUAAGACUGGGAUAACUUCGGGAAACCGGAGCUAAUACCGGAUAAUAUUUUGAACCGCAUGGUUCAAAAGUGAAAGACGGUCUUGCUGUCACUUAUAGAUGGAUCCGCGCUGCAUUAGCUAGUUGGUAAGGUAACGGCUUACCUAGGCAACGAUGCAUAGCCGACCUGAGAGGGUGAUCGGCCACACUGGAACUGAGACACGGUCCAGACUCCUACGGGAGGCAGCAGUAGGGAAUCUUCCGCAAUGGGCGAAAGCCUGACGGAGCAACGCCGCGUGAGUGAUGAAGGUCUUCGGAUCGUAAAACUCUGUUAUUAGGGAAGAACAUAUGUGUAAGUAACUGUGCACAUCUUGACGGUACCUAAUCAGAAAGCCACGGCUAACUACGUG